rnacentral:tRNA from 1 species
GACCAAGUGGUGCAACUGGUAGACACGCGACGCUCAGAACGUCGUGCCCACCCGGGCUUGGGAGUUCGAGUCUCCCCUUGGUCA